rnacentral:rRNA from 1 species
UACGUAGGGGGCUAGCGUUGUCCGGAAUCAUUGGGCGUAAAGCGCGCGUAGGCGGCCCGGUAAGUCCACUCUGAAAGUCCAGGGCUCAACCCUGGAAAGCGGGUGGAUACUGCCGGGCUAGAAUCCGGAAGAGGCGAGUGGAAUUCCUGGUGUAGCGGUGAAAUGCGUAGAUAUCAUGAGGAAUACCAGAGGCGAAGGCGGCUACCUGGACAAUUGCUGACGCUCAGGCACGAAAGCGUGGGGAGCAAAAGGG